UCCGAAGUCUCCAGUCUUCCCAGAAACCGAACCGCCGUGAAUCGACCGCCCACUCUCGACGGUGGAUUCCCGUCUCGACCGCCAUUAGACCGUCGUCACCGUCUUCCCUCCCCAUUUCCCCGUCGAUCCACCAUCUUCUUCCCUCCCCUUAUCCCUCCUGGGCGGCGACAUGGACAUGGAUAUCGACUCCGCACCCAACGGCGACGCCUCCUCCUCCCCCGCCGUCCCUCCCGCCACCGCCGCCGCCGCCGCUCCCACUGCACCCACCACCCGGCUGGCCCAGCUCACCGAGUCCCUCAAAUUGGAGCACCAGUUCGUUAGGGUUCCCUUGGAGCACCUCAAGAAGACGACGCGGACUAACUACCGCCUCGCCGAGAAGGAGGUAGCGGCCGUGCUCUCCAGCGUCGCCGAGGCCGUUGACCGCUCGGACGCCAUGUCGAGGGAUGAUGCCCUCACUCACCUCAGCUCCCUCGUCUCCCGCCUGCAGGGCCUUAAGCGCAAGUUGGAAGAGGGGAGCAGGGUGGAGAAUCUGCAGGCCCAGAGGUGCCGUGCUCGGCUGGAGCACUUGGAUUCGGUGGCUGAUGCCGAUAAAUUCGCUGAGUGGAAGGACGUUAGAUUGACCCGAAUUCUAGUUGAUUAUAUGAUGCGAAUGUCAUACUACGAUACUGCAAAGAAGCUUGCAGAGACCAGCAAGAUACAGGAACUUGUUGAUAUUGACGUCUUUCUCGAGGCAAAAAAGGUUAUUGAUUCACUUCAGAAUAAAGAGGUAGCUCUUGCUUUAGCAUGGUGUGCAGAGAACAAAUCCCGGUUGAAAAAAUCCAAGAGUAAGCUUGAGUUUCAAUUGAGGCUUCAGGAGUUCAUAGAGCUAGUAAGAGCUGAUGAAAACUUGUGGGCCGUUUCAUAUGCCCGAAAAUAUCUUGCACCCUGGGGAGCUAGUUAUAUGAAGGAACUGCAGCAUGUUGUGGCAACCUUGGCUUUUAGGCACGAUACUGAAUGUUCAACUUACAAGGUCUUAUUUGAGCCAACCCAAUGGGAUUGUCUGGUUGAGCAAUUCAAGCAGGAAUUCUGCCGAUUGUUUGGCAUGACUAAUGAACCUUUACUGAAUAUCUAUCUCCAAGCAGGCUUGACGGCCCUCAAGACUCCACUUUGUUACAAAGAGGCUUGCAGCAAAGAAGAUCCACUAUCACAAGAAGGUUUUCGCAAAUUAGCAGAACCCCUACCCUUUUCAAAGCUGCACCAUUCCAAGCUGGUUUGCUACAUAACAAAAGAGUUGAUGGACCAUGAGAAUCCACCGCUUGUGCUACCCAAUGGGUACGUGUACAGCACUAAGGCUCUGGAAGAAAUGGCCAGCAAGAACGAAGGCAAAAUAACUUGUCCCAGGACUGGUGAGGUUUGCAACUUCACUGACCUCAUGAAGGCCUAUAUUUCAUGAACUCAUUGCUACGUUGCCCAUUGUAAACAUCAUCCCAAGUUGGUUCGCACGCACCCGCCAACUAGCAACGUAGCGAAACAAAGACAAGCAAUCUACCCGAUGCAUAAUUCUCUUUGAGACUAUUGACUGGGGACACAAAUUGAGGUAACUCAUCGCAUACUUCAUCUGGUAGCAGAGAGUGAGAGUGGGAGCAGAGCUCAGAGCAAUCCAAAUACCAUGUGAAAGGCAAGACAAAAAAAGGUGUGUACUUCUUCCCUUCUGCCAAUAGCAAGAAAAGGGAUCACAACAAUACUCACUCUCUCUC